GAUGAACGCUGGCGGCGUGCCUAAUACAUGCAAGUCGAGCGAACAGACGAGGAGCUUGCUCCUCUGACGUUAGCGGCGGACGGGUGAGUAACACGUGGAUAACCUACCUAUAAGACUGGGAUAACCUCGGGAAACCGGAGCUAAUACCGGAUAAUAUAUUGAACCGCAUGGUUCAAUAGUGAAAGACGGUUUUGCUGUCACUUAUAGAUGGAUCCGCGCCGCAUUAGCUAGUUGGUAAGGUAACGGCUUACCAAGGCGACGAUGCGUAGCCGACCUGAGAGGGUGAUCGGCCACACUGGAACUGAGACACGGUCCAGACUCCUACGGGAGGCAGCAGUAGGGAAUCUUCCGCAAUGGGCGAAAGCCUGACGGAGCAACGCCGCGUGAGUGAUGAAGGUCUUCGGAUCGUAAAACCCUGUUAUUAGGGAAGAACAAAUGUGUAAGUAACUAUGCACGUCUUGACGGUACCUAACCAGAAAGCCACGGCUAACUACGUG
rnacentral:rRNA from 1 species